GUCCAUGGGGUCACCAAGAAUUGGACAUGAUUGAACAACUAAACAACAACAAAAAUCAAAGGAACCCCACAUUGGGAGAACUUCUGGUCCCAUACAACUUUGAGCCUCUCCUGAUAAAUAGCCCAGCAGGUGUCUCAGCACUUUGAGUUACAUGCGGUUUGCCCAUCUGUCCAGCGUGAGUGACCCAAAGAGCAGAAGGACGGGCCUUGGUUCUCAGUGUAUGGUCUUGGCAAUUUCUUGGCCCUUGUCCAAGUCACCAGACACAAUCUCCAUCAUUACCAUUAACAACAGUGGGUUAAAAUGCAGCCAUUACAACUCAUCUAUGCCAGCGCCUGAGUUGAUGAGUUGAUGAGAGGAGGACAGAAAGGGGAAAUCUAAAGGCAAGGUGCGGUGGGGGCGGGAGACAGCUUCUCCUUUUCUGCCCUUUCUCCAAAAACUUCCCUAGUUUUAUUUCCCAUUUGCUCAGCCAUGUAUUCUCACACUCUCCUUUACUUGAGAACUGACUGUUAGAUAUGCACAAGAGAAGAACAUGAAGGCCUCCAGAUAAAGUAGACAUGGAAUCAACACAGGGUCCCAGUCGUUUUCUUUGACGGGGCUUUACCAGGCUGGAUGGAAGAAGAAAAGACCGCCAGGAAAGCGGGAGUUAUAAAUCAGCUCUGUGCUCUUCCGAGGAUUUAUAUUCAACUGAAGACGUGUCCAAUGCAGGACCUUAUGGCUUUCUGCUUUCUUUUUGCUUACACGGAGAAAUAACAGUUAAUAUAGUCAACUAUCCCAAGGCAGAAGAGUAUUAUUAAAAAAAGAAUACUUUGCAACAUUAUUGAUUUCUCAAGUCACUGUCAGAUAUUUUAAGAUUUGGAUUUAAUAAAGCAUAAUAUGAUUUCUUUUA